UACGAAGGGGGCUAGUGUUGUUCGGAUUUACUGGGCGUAAAGCGCACGUAGGCGGGUCGUUAAGUCAGGGGUGAAAUCCCGGAGCUCAACUCCGGAACUGCCUUUGAUACUGGCGACCUAGAGUCCGGAAGAGGUGAGUGGAACUCCUAGUGUAGAGGUGGAAUUCGUAGAUAUUAGGAAGAACACCAGUGGCGAAGGCGGCUCACUGGUCCGGUACUGACGCUGAAGUGCGAAAGCGUGGGGAGCAAACAGG
rnacentral:rRNA from 1 species